GCAUUUCCCCUUCUUUCUCUAGGAUUCGUUCCUGUUUCCUGAAGAGCCUGCGGCAGGACUUUCCUGUUGUGAUGUCGGGGGAUCUCUAGACUAGCAUUUGCAGGUCCUUCAAGAUGAUAAGGUCCGGAGAGAGAGAUCGACGACAGAGGGCUUGCAUCACACAUGGGAACAUGGGAAGGCUCAAUUGCAAGUAGUUCCAAGUAACGGAAGAAAUAAAAGGUCCAAUUCCUCAUUUAGCCAGGCAUGGAAGAUUGCCACUAGUUUGAGGCCAGUCUGGGUUACAGAGUGAGACCUUGUCUCAAAAACAAACAAGAAACAUGAACCCAGACGGGCAGGAACUAUGGACUUGUGGAAGGAGCCCUGGUCAAGCAUUCAGCAGCUCCACACGGUUCAGUGCCAUCAGAAGUGCCAUAAAGAUCUGCAAAGACGAGAUGCCCCCAUGUUCUCGUUUUCAUCGGCUUGGAGAAGGACUCAAGUGAUAGUGACCCUCAGCUUUGAAGGACUUGAAGGAGUUAGGCAGGAAGAGAAAAGGAGGAAAGACAUGCCACCCCCACCCCCCAGACAGCCCUGAACACAAAAGCUGCCCUGCUGCACUCAGAGAACUGAAAACAGUUGAACCCAGCAGGAGCGCUUGGUGUGGGAGCCUGUGUCCACAGAAGAGAGUGUGGGUUUGGACUCUGACCCGCCUCGUGAGUCACGAUCUGCUCAGCGAAAGGCAAAGAGGCACAGGAGUCUGACAUUGGGGAGCAUGGUGCCGCUACAAAUGUCUCAGUGACUUUGAUGUGCCCCAUUCACCCUGACGGAUGAUCACAGGGACAACUCCAACUCAGAGCACACAAAUUCAGGACUUCCUUUUGCUGCACUUCCCACAAUGUCCCUUUUCACUGCACUUCCCACAAUGUCCAUGGCAUUAAGCAGAAACAUGGAUGACCACUUUGUCCACUGCUGGCAUGGGCGCCAUUUCCUCAGUGAUGCUAUGCCUCCUUCUGGAGGCUUCUAGUAAUAUAUAGGUUAAUUCUCAGUAUGUUGUUCUAGUUAUACCCAAAGUUUUACCAUGCUGAUAAACGUUCUUCAGGGAUUUGGGACACCAUGAGGUCUAACUUCUUUAAAAAUAAAUUUUCUAUUCUAUUGAUUUUGGAAAAUAAGCUUUAAACAGAUGUGAGUUUUCUCUAGAAUUUCUCCAUCUAAGAAACUUGAACAAGAGAGAAUGGAUUGAUUGAUUGAUUGAUUGAUUAGGAUUUUGACUGAAGGCCUGAAGAGGGGAAAAAUGGAGCCAGAAAAGCACUAGAAGGCCUGUGUAGCAUCCAAGGUAUGGCAGACAUGAGCAAUAAGCUUGGGGAUGAAGAAAAGCCAGACAGCCAAAUGGACUUUGAAAAGACGAUAUUGAAAGAAAAAAAGACAAAUGGCCACUCAUUAUCUGACUUGUUUGUUUGUUUGUUUGUUUGUUGUAGCAAAAGAGGAAAAGAGAUAACCUUUCAGUAUGUUGAAGUUCCUGGGCUAUUCAAUAAAGGUAUAGCUUAGCUAAAUUA
rnacentral:lncRNA from 1 species